rnacentral:rRNA from 1 species
GACGAACGCUGGCGGCGUGCUUAACACAUGCAAGUCGAACGGAAAGGCCCUGCUUUUGUGGGGUGCUCGAGUGGCGAACGGGUGAGUAACACGUGAGUAACCUGCCCUUGACUUUGGGAUAACUUCAGGAAACUGGGGCUAAUACCGGAUAGGAGCUCCUGCUGCAUGGUGGGGGUUGGAAAGUUUCGGCGGUUGGGGAUGGACUCGCGGCUUAUCAGCUUGUUGGUGGGGUAGUGGCUUACCAAGGCUUUGACGGGUAGCCGGCCUGAGAGGGUGACCGGCCACAUUGGGGCUGAGAUACGGACCAGACUCCUACGGGAGGCAGCAGUGGGGAAUAUUGCACAAUGGGCGGAAGCCUGAUGCAGCAACGCCGCGUGCGGGAUGACGGCCUUCGGGUUGUAAACCGCUUUCGCCUGUGACGAAGCGUGAGUGACGGUAAUGGGUAAAGAAGCACCGGCUAACUACGUG